AGCCGCGCGGUGAGCAUAGAGGGAACUAUUUUUUCGCCUUUUACUAAAGAAUACUGUGUGCUUGCUGCUUCAAGUGGCAUACGCCUAUUUUUGGAGAGCCUUAAAUUGAAUUUAAUU